rnacentral:rRNA from 1 species
CACGUAGGGCGCAAGCGUUGUCCGGAAUUAUUGGGCGUAAAGAGCUCGUAGGCGGCUCUGUUACGUCAUGCGUGUCGAAAACCCAGGGCGUUAACCCUGGGCGUUGCAGUGGGAUACGGGCAGAUAAGAGGCGAGGUAGGGGAGAAUGGAAUUCCGGUGUAGCGGUGAAAUGCGCAGAGUAUCGGGAAGGAACGACCGAUGGCGAAGGGCGAGGUCUCUGGGCCGUAGUACU